rnacentral:rRNA from 1 species
CCUACGGGAGGCAGCAGUGGGGAAUAUUGGGCAAUGGGCGCAAGCCUGACGCAGCAACGCCGCGUGAAUGAAGAAGGCUUUCGGGUUGUAAACUUCUUUUCUCAGGGACGAAGCAAGUGACGGUACCUGAGGAAUAAGCCACGGCUAACUACGUGCCAACAGCCGCGGUAAUACGUGGGGGGCAAGCGUUAUCCGGAUUUACUGGGUGUAAAGGGCGUGGAGGCGGGACUGCAAGUCAGAUGUGAAAACCACGGGCUCAACCUGUGGGCUGCAUUUGAAACUGUAGUUCUUGAGUGCUGGAGAGGCAGGCGGAAUUCCUAGUGUAGCGGUGAAAUGCGUAGAUAUUAGGAGGAACACCAGUGGCGAAGGCGGUCUGCUGGACAGCAACUGACGCUGAGGCGCGAAAGCGUGGGGAGCAAACAGGAUUAGAUACCCGAGUAGUC